rnacentral:rRNA from 1 species
GAGGAAUAUUGGUCAAUGGACGAGAGUCUGAACCAGCCAAGUAGCGUGAAGGAUGACUGCCCUAUGGGUUGUAAACUUCUUUUAUACGGGAAUAAAGUGAGGUACGUGUGCCUUUUUGUAUGUACCGUAUGAAUAAGGAUCGGCUAACUCCGUGCCAGCAGCCGCGGUAAUACGGAGGAUCCGAGCGUUAUCCGGAUUUAUUGGGUUUAAAGGGAGCGUAGGCGGACGCUUAAGUCAGUUGUGAAAGUUUGCGGCUCAACCGUAAAAUUGCAGUUGAUACUGGGUGUCUUGAGUACAGUAGAGGCAGGCGGAAUUCGUGGUGUAGCGGUGAAAUGCUUAGAUAUCACGAAGAACUCCGAUUGCGAAGGCAGCCUGCUGGACUGUAACUGACGCUGAUGCUCGAAAGUGUGGGUAUCAAACAGGAUUAGAUACCCUGGUAGUCCACACAAUAAACGAUGAAUACUCGCUGUUUGCGAUAUACAGUAAGCGGCCAAGCGAAAGCGUUAAGUAUUCCACCUGGGGAGUACGCCGGCAACGGUGAAACUCAAAGGAAUUGACGGGGGCCCGCACAAGCGGAGGAACAUGUGGUUUAAUUCGAUGAUACGCGAGGAACCUUACCCGGGCUUGAAUUGCAACUGAAUGAUGUGGAGACAUGUCAGCCGCAAGGCAGUUGUGAAGGUGCUGCAUGGUUGUCGUCAGCUCGUGCCGUGAGGUGUCGGCUUAAGUGCCAUAACGAGCGCAACCCUUAUCGAUAGUUACCAUCAGGUUAUGCUGGGGACUCUGUCGAGACUGCCGUCGUAAGAUGUGAGGAAGGUGGGGAUGACGUCAAAUCAGCACGGCCCUUACGUCCGGGGCUACACACGUGUUACAAUGGGGGGUACAGAAGGCAGCUACACGGCGACGUGAUGCUAAUCCCGAAAGCCUCUCUCAGUUCGGAUUGGAGUCUGUAACCCGACUCCAUGAAGCUGGAUUCGCUAGUAAUCGCGCAUCAGCCACGGCGCGGUGAAUACGUUCCCG